GAGAGAGGUCACGCCGUCCCGUGGCCACACCGCAGCUGUGGACCUGGGGGUGCCCGAGCGUCCCCUGCAUUCAGCUCUGUGGCGGGACGGGGGCUGAGGAUGACUGGAGCAGGCACAAGGGCUGCGGGGAAGAGGUGGAAACUGAGGCUCCAAGAGGUUGUCAUUUGCCCAGAGCCACCAGCUAAGCGGGACUUGAAUCAGGAAAGGGGUGCAGCAGGCACCAGUGUGGAGGGCGGUCCCACCCACCUCCUCCACUUCUCCCUUUGCAUAGCGGGGGAAACAGGCCUGGAACAGUCAUAGGCUCUCUGGCCCUCAACUGGGGCGAGAGUCCCCCGCCCCAAAUCGGGCUGGACAUGCCUCGAGUCACGUCAACGAGGGGCGGCUGAUACCGGGGAGACCACGACGCUGCCUCCUGGGCGCCAUGAGUUCCUGUUCAGCUUCCAGCUGCCCCC
rnacentral:lncRNA from 1 species